rnacentral:rRNA from 1 species
GAACGCUGGCGGCGUGCUUAACACAUGCAAGUCGAGCGGAAAGGCCCUUCGGGGUACUCGAGCGGCGAACGGGUGAGUAACACGUGAGCAACCUGCCCUAGGCUUUGGGAUAACCCUCGGAAACGGGGGCUAAUACCGAAUAUGACUGCUGAUCGCAUGGUUGGUGGUGGAAAGUUUUUCGGCCUGGGAUGGGCUCGCGGCCUAUCAGCUUGUUGGUGGGGUGAUGGCCUACCAAGGCGACGACGGGUAGCCGGCCUGAGAGGGCGACCGGCCACACUGGGACUGAGACACGGCCCAGACUCCUACGGGAGGCAGCAGUGGGGAAUAUUGCACAAUGGGCGGAAGCCUGAUGCAGCGACGCCGCGUGAGGGAUGACGGCCUUCGGGUUGUAAACCUCUUUCAGCAGGGACGAAGCGAAAGUGACGGUACCUGCAGAAGAAGCGCCGGCCAACUACGUGCCAGCAGCCGCGGUAAGACGUAGGGCGCGAGCGUUGUCCGGAUUUAUUGGGCGUAAAGAGCUCGUAGGCGGC